GGUGAGAUGUCCGAGCGGUUGAAGGAGCACGCCUGGAAAGUGUGUAUACGGCAACGUAUCGAGGGUUCGAAUCCCUCUCUCACCGCCA
rnacentral:tRNA from 1 species